GCUCCGGAGGAAGCCACGGCUAACUCUGUGCCAGCAGCCGCGGUAAUACAGAGGCGGCAAGCGUUGUUCGGAAUUAUUGGGCGUAAAGAGCACGUAGGCGGCUGUGUAAGUCGGUUGUGAAAGCCUUCCGCUUAACGGAAGAACGGCAUCCGAUACUGCAUAGCUUGAGUGCGGGAGGGGAGAGUGGAACUUCUGGUGGAGCGGUGAAAUGCGUAGAUAUCAGAAGGAACACCGGCGGCGAAGGCGACUCUCUGGUCCGUAACUGACGCUGAGUGUGCGAAAGCUAGGGGAGCAAACGGGAUUAGAUACCCCGGUAGUCCUAGCCGUUAACGAUGGGCACU
rnacentral:rRNA from 1 species